rnacentral:lncRNA from 1 species
UUUAUAUUUGCUUGGUGAUGGAUAUGACUCGAGUAAAGAGUUCAUGUUGUUAUCAAAAGCAACAACCUGUUAAUAACAAUAGAUUAUGAUCAAUGGCUUGAAGGUUAUCCAUUGAUCCACAUCUUGCGUUCCUCCUCACUUGCUAUCUUUGCUGAAAAUUUUCCCGAGCUAUACAAAUAUACAAUUGAGUAAACAAAAAUCUUAAAAUUAGAUUACUGGCUUUAAAAUAUGAGUCGGUGAGUGUGAUCCAGAGAUAGCUAGAAAAAUCUAGGAGUUUGGAUAUGAGAAGCUA